CUUUCAUCUGCUACUAGACGGAGCAUCAAGUCAUCUCGGCUCCUCCAGAGCUGAGACUCUGGAAUCUGCCACACCUACAUUCAGCCAGGGUGAAGCACCAAGGUCGAGGCUGGAGGCUGCCGGCAAGGAAACAAGGGUCCGAAUGGUCAUUUUAUUUCUUCUGCUGAAAAAUCCUUUUGGGGAGCCUCCAGCACGCAUCAAGUGUGCAGACUGUAUGAUCA